rnacentral:rRNA from 1 species
CUACGGGUGGCUCCAGUGAGGAAUAUUGCACAAUGGGGGGAACCCUGAUGCAGCAACGCCGCGUGGAGGAUGACGCAUUUCGGUGUGUAAACUCCUUUUAUAUGUCAAGAAAAUGACGGUAGCAUAUGAAUAAGCACCGGCUAACUCCGUGCCAGCAGCCGCGGUAAUACGGAGGGUGCAAGCGUUACUCGGGAUCACUGGGCGUAAAGGACGCGUAGGCGGGUUGGAAAGUCAGGUGUGAAAUCCUACAGCUUAACUGUAGAACUGCACUUGAAACUUCUAAUCUAGAGUAUGGGAGGGGGAGAUGGAAUUAGUGGUGUAGGGGUAAAAUCCGUAGAUAUCACUAGGAAUACCUAAAGCGAAGGCGAUCUCCUGGAACAUUACUGACGCUAAGGCGUGAAAGCGUGGGGAGCAAACAGGAUUAGAUACCCGGGUAGUC